CAUGGGUUAGUCGAUCCUAAGA
rnacentral:snRNA from 1 species